GACGAACGCUGGUGGCGUGCCUAAUACAUGCAAGUCGAGCGGACCAAUAGAAGCUUGCUUCUGUUGGUUAGCGGCGGACGGGUGAGUAACACGUGGGCAACCUGCCUGUAAGACUGGGAUAACUUCGGGAAACCGGAGCUAAUACCGGAUAAUUCAUCCCCUCGCAUGAGGGGAUGCUGAAAGUCGGUUUACGCUGACACUUACAGAUGGGCCCGCGGCGCAUUAGCUAGUUGGUGAGGUAAUGGCUCACCAAGGCGACGAUGCGUAGCCGACCUGAGAGGGUGAUCGGCCACACUGGGACUGAGACACGGCCCAGACUCCUACGGGAGGCAGCAGUAGGGAAUCGUCCACAAUUGACGAAAGUCUGAUGGAGCAACGCCGCGGGAGCGAUGAAGGCCUUCGGGUCGUAAAGCUCUGUUGUUAGGGAAGAACAAGUAUCGGAGUAACUGCCGGUACCUUGACGGUACCUAACCAGAAAGCCACGGCUAACUACGUGCCAGCCGCCGCGGUAU
rnacentral:rRNA from 1 species